rnacentral:tRNA from 1 species
CUGGAUCACCUCCUUAAAGGGAGACCUAAUUCAGGUAGGAGACGAAAAAAAGUAGUCCCUACCAAGAAUCAAUCCCAAAAGGUCGGAGCGAGGCAAAAUUGGCUUUCAAACUAGGUUCUGGGUUCACACAAGACCUGAAUCAGGAACAAGGGCUAUUAGCUCAGGUGGUUAGAGCGCACCCCUGAUAAGGGUGAGGUCCCUGGUUCGAGUCCAGGAUGGCCCACCUGUACAGGUGGCAAAAAGAAAGAAAAGAAGCGAGGAAUCAGCACCUUAUCUUACUUAUAUAGUAAGAGAGAAUGCUGGCUCUGAGUUCAGAGUCCAGAGGAACCUUGAAAACUGCAUAGAGCUAGGUGAAAAAGCCAAAAAAGAAGACCGCAAGGUCAAGCUAAUAAGGGC